ACUCAAAUGAAUUGACGGGGGCCCGCACAAGCGGUGGAGCAUGUGGUUUAAUUCGACGCAACGCGAAGAACCUUACCUGGGCUUGAACUGCAGUGGACCGGUGCAGAGAUGUGCCUUUUCGCAAGAACUGCUGCAGAGGUGCUGCAUGGCUGUCGUCAGCUCGUGUCGUGAGAUGUUGGGUUAAGUCCCGCAACGAGCGCAACCCUUACCCGUAGUUGCCAGCGCGUCAUGGCGGGAACUCUACGGGGACUGCCCGGGUUAACCGGGAGGAAGGUGGGGAUGAUGUCAAGUCCUCAUGGCCCUUAUGUCCAGGGCUACACACGUGCUACAAUGGGCGAUACAAACCGUUGCAAAGUCGCGAGAUGGAGCUAAUCGGAGAAAGUCGUCCUCAGUUCGGAUUGUAGUCUGCAACUCGACUACAUGAAGGUGGAAUCGCUAGUAAUCGUGUAUCAGAAUGAUACGGUGAAUACGUUCCCGGGCCUUGUACACACCGCCCGU
rnacentral:rRNA from 1 species